rnacentral:lncRNA from 1 species
CAUCCAACUCUCUAAUAUUUAGUUCAAAAGAGGAGAAUUUUAGCAAUGCAAGUUCAUACGGAGACGAUGACAAAGUUUUGAAGGGUUUCAUGUAACCAGGUAUUUGCCUUUAUGUUUUGAUGUAAGGACUUUACUUUUGGAUUUGUUACAAGGAACAAUAAUGGAACCUCAACAGCUUCAAUUUUAGAUGUAUCUUUCAUAUGGAGAGUUUACAAGGAACAAUAAUGGAACCUCAACAGCUUCAGUACGCCUACUUUGUUGACUGCAAAAACGGAGCUAGAGCCAGCUAGAACAAAAGGUGCAAAAACUGGAAUGAUCCUUGCACUAUAAAUGUAGUUUUUGUUUUUGUGUGUAAAUAUAGAAUUGGCUCUUUUGUCUUACCACUCUUCCAUUGUA